CUGGCAGUGAUGAUUGGCGCAGGGGUACGGACCUCAGCUAGAUCAUGGGAGCUGAAUGCAAACUGUGUAUUGCAGUGCAGCUGGCAUGUGGCCGCCUCACUGGAAACAGGUUUGCAUGAGACUUUGCCAAAAUCUGAGCCAU
rfam:Apaloderma vittatum contig22441, whole genome shotgun sequence.